GUGACCUCAAAUCAGGUAGGACUACCCGCUGAACUUAAGCAUAUCAAUAAGCGGAGGAAAAGAAACUAACAAGGAUUCCCCUAGUAACUGCGAGUGAAGCGGGAAAAGCUCAAAUUUAAAAUCUGGCGGCCUUUUUGCUGUCCGAGUUGUAAUCUAGAGAAGUGUUAUCCGCGCUGGACCGUGUACAAGUCUCCUGGAAUGGAGCAUCAUAGAGGGUGAGAAUCCCGUCUUUGACAUGGACUACCAGGGCUUUGUGAUGCGCUCUCAAAGAGUCGAGUUG
rnacentral:rRNA from 1 species